rnacentral:lncRNA from 1 species
CCAGCUUUUCAUCUGUUGCUCCCCAGCUGGGGCAAAGAGCAAGCUGUUCGGUAUCUGCACCUGCCCUGAAGAGAACUGGAAGACAGAAGGGUUACAUUGUGUUCAGGCUGCGGAGGGGAGCAUUUCCAAGCCUUAUUCAUUUGGAAAGAGAUUUCUGGGAUAUGCAGAUUCCACCCUUCUGACAUCACUGCCUCAUCUCGCCUCAUCGGUGCCUCAUGACACAACCCCUCUCCACAGCACUGAGUCAGCACCACUGUGUGAUCUCCUCUUGGCCAUGCAAGAUGGUGAAAAGCUGCCUAUAAUGGUGAAAGCAUAAAGGAACCUCUAAACAGGUCCCCAAAGGGAUUAAAAAAUUCAUGGUCAUCUUAUGAGAACCCCUCCCAGGAAAUAACAUGUGCUUGGAAAAAUUUACUGUACAGUAACACAGCAGUGUUCUAUGGGAGUGCUCCCACAGCAGAUGGAACAAUAAUUCAUACUGUGUGUUCAAAGAAAGGAGCAAGGAACACUUGCACUUCACUCUGGGAGCUUCAAAAAAGAUGCCAAGCAUCUUUUAGUUAGUUACUGCACCCCAGUAACUAACAGGUACAGGCUGAUUCUGCCUGCUGCACUCUUCUAUAGGCCUGGACUGAAAGAAUAUUUCUUAAAGCAUCCUUGGAAGUGUCCAAGGCCAAGUUGCAGCCUUGCACAUGAAGAGGGGUUUGAAACUAGAUGAUCUUUAAGGUCUCUUCCAACCCAAACUGUUCUAUGAUUCUGUGAAAGCAUCACACACAUGGAGUGCUAACCCUCCUCCCCCCCUAAAAAAGCUGUUUCCUAUUUUGGGAAAAAAAGCCCAGAACAAAACAAUCAAAUGGAAAGAAUCUGAAAUAUUCAUAUAAUGGUUGAAUUGCAAGAGGCAAUGUAAAGAGGAGUUUUAUGUUGGAAGAAACUCAGCCACAUGAAAACUAAAAUAUUGGGCCACU